GAAAUUCCAAUCGAACCCGGAGAUAGCUGGUUCUCCCCGAAAUAGCUUUAGGGCUAGCGUCGAGGUAGAGAGUUGCGUGAAGGUAGAGCACUGAAUAUGUGAUGGCCCCAUCUCGGGGUACUGAGCAUAAUCAAACUGCGAAUGUCACGGAAACAUACUCGGCAGUCAGACAGCGGGUGAUAAGGUCCGUUGUCAAGAGGGAAACAGCCCAGACCAUCAGCUAAGGUCCCAAAAUGUAUGCUAAGUGGAAAAGGAUGUGGAGAUGUACAGACAACUAGGAGGUUGGCUCAGAAGCAGCCAUCCUUUAAAGAGUGCGUAACAGCUCACUAGUCGAAUGACUCUGCGCCGAUAAUUUACCGGGGCUAAGCAUACUACCGAAGCUAUGGAUCCCAAGGGAUGGUAGGGGAGCGUUCCAUGAACGGAGAAGUACGACCGAAAGGACGUGUGGAGAUCAUGGAAGAGAGAAUGCCGGUGUGAGUAGCGGAACGUGGGUGAGAAUCCCACGCACCGAAAACCCAAGGUUUCCAGAGGAAGGUUCGUCCGCUCUGGGUAAGUCGGGACCUAAGGCGAGGCCGAAAGGCGUAGUCGAUGGACAACAGGUAGAGAUUCCUGUACCCGUAUAUAUGUGAAGGAAUGACGGAGAGAGGAAGCUGCAGCCAGCGGCUGGAAGAGCUGGUGCAAGCGAGAUAUCGGGAUGGCAGGCAAAUCCACCAUCCGAAACGAGAAGGCGUGAAGCGUACGGAAAGCUACGGCGAGUACGGAAGGCAGUGGAGGAACUUCCAAGAAAAGUUUCUAACGUUAAGUAUAUAUGGCCCGUACCGAAAAUGGACACACAUGGGUGAGGAGAGAAUCCUAAGGUGAGCGAGAGAACUAUAGCUAAGGAACUCUGCAAAAUGACUCCGUAACUUAGGGAGAAGGAGUGCUCAUAGAGAUAUGAGCCGCAGUGAAACGGCCCAAGCGACUGUUUACCAAAAACACAGCUCUCUGCUAAGCCGCAAGGCGAAGUAUAGGGGGUGACGCCUGCCCGGUGCUGGAAGGUUAAGGGGAGGGGUUAACGCAAGUGAAGCCCUGAACUGAAGCCCCAGUAAACGGCGGCCGUAACUAUAACGGUCCUAAGGUAGCGAAAUUCCUUGUCAGGUAAGUUCUGACCCGCACGAAAGGCGUAACGAUUUGGGCGCUGUCUCAGCUGUAGACUCGGUGAAGUCUUAGUACCUGUGAAGAUGCAGGUUACCCGCGACUAGACGGAAAGACCCCAUGGAGCUUCACUGCAGGUUGAUAUUGGGAUUUGAUGCAGCAUGUACAGGAUAGGUAGGAGGCAAAGAGAUGGAUACGCCAGUAUUCAAGGAGCCGCUGUUGGGAUACUACCCCUGUUGUAUUGGAUUUCUAACCGGACGACGUAGAGCCGUUGACGGGACAGUGUCAGUCGGGCAGUUUGACUGGGGCGGUCGCCUCCCAAAGAGUAACGGAGGCGCCCAAAGAUACCCUCAGCUUGGAUGGAAACCAAGCGCAGAGUGCAAAGGCAAAAGGGUGUUUGACUGCGAGACCUACAAGUCGAGCAGGGACGAAAGUCGGGCUUAGUGAUCCGG
rnacentral:rRNA from 1 species